rnacentral:lncRNA from 1 species
CUUAGUGCCAGCCGAACUCCACCAAGAAAGAAGGAAGAAAGCUUUCCACCAUUUUUGCACCAAUCUUCCUCCAUUUCAUCUCAAACUUUGCAUCCAACUCACAAACCACUUGGGAAUUCACUUAAGCUAGAAGAAAGACUUCAUCUUGGUGGUUUUUUUGGAGCUUUUGGUGCCAAAAAAUUUCUGGUUUCUCUCAAAGCUAGGAGGUAACUAUCCAACACCAUCCAAUCUUUCAUUCUUGGCUUUGAUAGGUUUUAUCCUUGGUUUUGAAGCUUGUAGCUUCAUUAUUGUUGUUAUAUCUUGGAUUGGAUUGGUUGAAGUGGGCUCUAUGAAUUCCCACCUUCAUUGUAUGGGCUGAUAUGAUGAUAUAAUGCUUGGUUUGAGUUGUUUAAGUGUUGUUUAAGAUGAUUAUGGAUAGAGAAUCGAAGGAAAGAUUGAAGGAAAUUGCGCAGGAAUGCUGGCUGAAAUCUGUUCUGUUUUGCCUUGUUUAUAAUUCAAAUUUUUUUGGUGCUCAAAUGACUGUAAAACUGAUGUAUAUAUGUUGUAUACGGUUUGUAGAAAGUUUCUACUAAAAAUCAUUUGAAUUGAUUAAGCAAAAUCUGAAUUUUCGAAACUUGAAGAAACCUGAAAAAUGUGUUCGGACAGCUUGAACAAUGUCCAUUUAAUCGAACAUAUCUCUUUGUACAGACGUCAAAAUCGAGUUCCGUUUGCAGCAUUUGAAACUAGACAAUUGUAUAUUUUCAACAGUAUAAAAUUCACCAUCUAGUUCGAACUAAGUGAACCGUAGUAGUUCACCAAAAUUUCCUGUUCUGUUAUGCUGUUCUGUUCGAAUGACAGUGGUAAGCUGAGUUUUGUCGCUUGAAUUCGAGCUAUCUAUGAACUGAUUUUCAAAACGACUUCUUCUGGUGAAAUGUAGCCUUUUGAAUCUAAUUUCCAACGCCACUAACCAUUCUCAAUUCCAAGUUCUAUUGAGUGAGAUAUGGUACAAUUUGUAAACUGCAGCAGAACUGGAAAACCCUUCUUUUUGCUGGCUGACUGGUUUGGUUGUAUGUGAG